rnacentral:lncRNA from 1 species
CUACCGCAACGCGGAAUCUCUCGAAUGCGACUCCCCUUUUCCUUCAUUCUUCUAGCCUUCUGCCUCCGCGACACUUCCUUCUUCUUCUUUAACCACAUUUCCUUCUCUCCUUCUUGUCUUCCUUGCUCGUCUUUCUCUCUUGCUGUGUUCUAUUCUUCCUCUUGGUUCGACCCUCACUCAGCUCGGCCUCCUCUCUCAUCUGCUCGAACUCAGCUCUCUUCUUCUCUCAUUUUCAGCUCUCAAUUUACGGAAUGAAGACCCUAAUUUGUUCCUUUAAAUGCUAAUUUUUCUAGUCGUCUGAUCUUGCAAGAUUGAAUUUGGACCGCUCGAUCGUUUGCGAUUUAGAGUCGUCGAAUCCCUUAGACAGUGCGAUCUUGACCGUCCAUUUUCUAAUUUAUUAUUUGUCCCCCUUCUGCUCUUAUUUAAUUAUGAAUUUUGGCCUUUUUUUU